rnacentral:rRNA from 1 species
UUGAACGCUGGCGGCAUGCCUUACACAUGCAAGUCGAACGGUAGAGGGGCAACCCUUGAGAGUGGCGAACGGGUGAGUAAUAUAUCGGAACGUGCCCAGUCGUGGGGGAUAACGCAGCGAAAGCUGCGCUAAUACCGCAUACGAUCUAUGGAUGAAAGCGGGGGAUCGCAAAGACCUCGCGCGAUUGGAGCGGCCGAUAUCAGAUUAGGUAGUUGGUGGGGUAAAAGCCCACCAAG